rnacentral:rRNA from 1 species
CUACGGGGUGCUGCAGUGAGGAAUAUUGCACAAUGGGGGGAACCCUGAUGCAGCAACGCCGCGUGGAGGAUGACGCAUUUCGGUGUGUAAACUCCUUUUAUAUGUAAGAAAAUGACGGUAGCAUAUGAAUAAGCACCGGCUAACUCCGUGCCAGCAGCCGCGGUAAUACGGAGGGUGCAAGCGUUACUCGGAAUCACUGGGCGUAAAGGACGCGUAGGCGGGUUGGAAAGUCAGGUGUGAAAUCCUACAGCUUAACUGUAGAACUGCACUUGAAACUUCUAAUCUAGAGUAUGGGAGGGGGAGAUGGAAUUAGUGGUGUAGGGGUAAAAUCCGUAGAUAUCACUAGGAAUACCUAAAGCGAAGGCGAUCUCCUGGAACAUUACUGAAGCUAAGGCGUGAAAGCGUGGGGAGCAAACAGGAUUAGAUACCCGUGUAGUC